GCCGGCGUGGCGGAACAGGCAGACGCAAGGGACUUAAAAUCCCUCGACGGAAACGUCAUGCGGGUUCGAUCCCCGCCGCCGGCACCA
rnacentral:tRNA from 1 species